CACUCCUACGGGAGGCAGCAGUGGGGAAUUUUGGACAAUGGGCGAAAGCCUGAUCCAGCAAUGCCGCGUGUGUGAAGAAGGCCUUCGGGUUGUAAAGCACUUUUGUCCGGAAAGAAAUCCUUGGCUCUAAUACAGUCGGGGGAUGACGGUACCGGAAGAAUAAGCACCGGCUAACUACGUGCCAGCAGCCGCGGUAAUACGUAGGGUGCGAGCGUUAAUCGGAAUUACUGGGCGUAAAGCGUGCGCAGGCGGUUUGCUAAGACCGAUGUGAAAUCCCCGGGCUCAACCUGGGAACUGCAUUGGUGACUGGCAGGCUAGAGUAUGGCAGAGGGGGGUAGAAUUCCACGUGUAGCAGUGAAAUGCGUAGAGAUGUGGAGGAAUACCGAUGGCGAAGGCAGCCCCCUGGGCCAAUACUGACGCUCAUGCACGAAAGCGUGGGGAGCAAACAGGAUUAGAAACCCUUGUAGUCCCAU
rnacentral:rRNA from 1 species